rnacentral:rRNA from 1 species
UACGUAGGUGACGAGCGUUUAUCCGGAAUACUGGGCGUAAAGCGCACGCAAGCGGUCUGACAAGUCUGGCGUGAAAUCCUCGGCUUAACCAGGGGCGGUCGCUGGAGACUGUUGGGCUUGAGGCGAUGAGAGGGGUGCAGAAUUCCCGGUGUAGUGGUGGAAUGCGUAGAGAUCGGGAGGAAUACCAGUGGCGAAAGCGGCACCCUGGCGUCGAACUGACGCACAUGUGCGAAAGCGUGGGGAGCGAACGGG